AUUGAACGCUGGCGGCAGGCCUAACACAUGCAAGUCGAGCGAGCGGCGCACGGUUGUGAGUUGUCUCGGGAACUGCCUGAGGGAGGGGGUGAACUCCUGGAAACGGUAGAUAAUACCGCGCACGAUAACCUGUGCACACAUGGGGUUAGCUGGUAGGUGGGGUAGCAGCUCACCUAGGCGACGCUCCCGCGCUGGUCUGAGAGGAUGACCAGCCACACUGGAACUGAGACACGGUCCAGACUCCUACGGGAGGCAGCAGUGGGGAAUAUUGCACAAUGGGCGCAAGCCUGAUGCAGCCAUGCCGCGUGUGUGAAGAAGGCCUUCGGGUUGUAAAGCACUUUCAGCGGGGAGGCGUUACCCGCAGAAGAAGCACCGGCUAACUCCGUGCCAGCAGCCGCGGUAAUAC
rnacentral:rRNA from 1 species